UACAGAGGUCCCAAGCGUUGUUCGGAUUCAUUGGGCGUAAAGGGUGCGUAGGCGGCCACCGCAAGUCGGUUGUGAAAUCUCCGGGCUUAACCCGGAAAGGUCAAUCGAUACUGCGGGGCUAGAGUGCAGAAGGGGCAACUGGAAUUCCUGGUGUAGCAGUGAAAUGCGUAGAUAUCAGGAGGAACACCGAUGGCGAAGGCAGGUCUCUGGGCUGACACUGACGCUGAUGCGCGAAAGCCAGGGGAGCGAACGGG
rnacentral:rRNA from 1 species